UUGUCGUGGGAGCUCGGAGUAACGACCUGGCCGGUGGAUCCCGUCCCAUGGUAGAAGCUCAUUUGGGAUCCGGCUACGAAGAAGCUCGGAUGAAGUCUACCUGUAAUGGAAGUUCGGAAGAAAUUUGUUUACAGCAGAGGCUCGAAUGAAAUUUACUUACAGUAGAUAUCCAGAGUAGACCACCCACCGUAGGAGUUCGGAGUAGACCGCUCGCUGUAGGAGUUCAGAGUAGACUGCUCGUAGUAGAAGUUCGGAGUAGACCAUCCGUAGUAGAAGUUCGGAGUAGACCGCUCGUAGUAG
rnacentral:lncRNA from 1 species